rnacentral:rRNA from 1 species
CGCAUCUGUGCAUGCAGCAUAUCAAUAAGCGAGGAAAAGUACCUACGCUUAGGAUGUUGACGAGACUGUCGAUCUCAUCUAUACAUGACUCUGUGCAUAUCAAUAAGCGGAGGAAAAGGCGGCGGAGAGUAUUGGUGUGGGCGUACCUACGCUUAGGAUGUUGACGAGACUGUCGAUCUCAUCUAUACAUGACUCUGUGCAUAUCAAUAAGCGGAGGAAAAGAAACUAACAAGGAUUCCCCUAGUAACGGCGAGUGAAGCGGGAAGAGCUCAAAUUUGAAAUCUUAAAGGGUUUCCCUUUACGAAUUGUAGUUUAAAGAAGUGUUUUCUGUUGAGGUUUUGGUAAAAGUUCUUUGGAAUAGGACAUCAUAGAGGGUGAGGAUCCCGUAUUUGACCUUUACUUUCAACUUUGUGAUACACUUUCAAAGAGUCGGAUCGUUUGGGAAUGCAGUCCAAAAUGGGUGGUAAAUUUCAUCUAAAGCUAAAUAUUGGCGAGAGACCGAUAGCGAACAAGUACCGUGAGGGAAAGAUGAAAAGAACUUUGAAAGAGAGUUAAACAGUACGUGAAAUUGUCAAAAGGGAAGCGUUUGACACCAGUGUUGUUUUUCUGAAAAUCAAUUAAAGAACUGUUUAUGCUAAGCUGUUUAGACUUUAUCAGCUAACUGUUUAGUUUUGAGCUUUUCUUUAAUGCACUUUUCAGUUAACAAGUCAACAUCAAUUUCUUUUGCUGUAAAAAAGCUUGAGGAAGGUGGCUUGAGAUUCGUCUUAAGUGUUUAUAGCCUCUUGCCUAUGCAGUCGGAGAGAUUGAGGUCUGCAGCGUAGAUCCUUCGGGGCUAAAUGCAUUUGUGCUAAGUUAUAGCAUUUUAUAGACAACUUGUUGACUAUGAUUUGUCUUGUAGCUUACUCGCUUAUGUUAUUUUACCUACGCUUAGGAUGUUGACGAGACUGUCGAUCUC